UACGGAGGGAGCUAGCGUUGUUCGGAUAUACUGGGCGUAAAGCGCACGUAGGCGGCGCCGUAAGUCAGGGGUGAAAUCCCGGAGCUCAACUCCGGAACUGCCCUUGAAACUGCAGUGCUAGAAUCUUGGAGAGGCGAGUGGAAUUCCGAGUGUAGAGGUGAAAUUCGUAGAUAUUCGGAAGAACACCAGAGGCGAAGGCGACUCGCUGGACAAGUAUUGACGCUGAGGUGCGAAAGCGUGGGGAGCAAACAGG
rnacentral:rRNA from 1 species